rnacentral:rRNA from 1 species
GACGAACGCUGGCGGCGUGCUUAACACAUGCAAGUCGAACGGAAAGGCCCUGCUUUUGUGGGGUGCUCGAGUGGCGAACGGGUGCGUAACACGUGAGUAACCUGCCCUUGACUUUGGGAUAACUUCAGGAAACUGGGGCUAAUACCGGAUAGGAUCUCCUGCUGCAUGGUGGGGGUUGGAAAGUUUCGGCGGUUGGGGAUGGACUCGCGGCUUAUCAGCUUGUUGGUGGGGUAGUGGCUUACCAAGGCUUUGACGGGUAGCCGGCCUGAGAGGGUGACCGGCCACAUUGGGACUGAGAUACGGCCCAGACUCCUACGGGAGGCAGCAGUGGGGAAUAUUGCACAAUGGGCGGAAGCCUGAUGCAGCAACGCCGCGUGCGGGAUGACGGCCUGCGGGUUGUAAACCGCUUUCGCCUGUGACGAAGCGUGAGUGACGGUAAUGGGUAAAGAAGCACCGGCUAACUACGUG